rnacentral:rRNA from 1 species
ACGAACGCUGGCGGCGUGCUUAACACAUGCAAGUCGAACGGAAAGGCCCUGCUUUUGUGGGGCGCUCGAGUGGCGAACGGGUGAGUAACACGUGAGUAACCUGCCCUUGACUUUGGGAUAACUUCAGGAAACUGGGGCUAAUACCGGAUAGGAGCUCCUGCUGCAUGGUGGGGGUUGGAAAGUUUCGGCGGUUGGGGAUGGACUCGCGGCUUAUCAGCUUGUUGGUGGGGUAGUGGCUUACCAAGGCUUUGACGGGUAGCCGGCCUGAGAGGGUGACCGGCCACAUUGGGACUGAGAUACGGCCCAGACUCCUACGGGAGGCAGCAGUGGGGAAUAUUGCACAAUGGGCGGAAGCCUGAUGCAGCAACGCCGCGUGCGGGAUGACGGCCUUCGGGUUGUAAACCGCUUUCGCCUGUGACGAAGCGUGAGUGACGGUAAUGGGUAAAGAAGCACCGGCUAACUACGUG